GGUUUGUCGCGUUGUUCGUGAAAUCUCACGGCUUAACUGUGAGCGUGCGGGCGAUACGGGCAGACUUGAGUACUGCAGGGGAGACUGGAAUUCCUGGUGUAGCGGUGGAAUGCGCAGAUAUCAGGAGGAACACCGGUGGCGAAGGCGGGUCUCUGGGCAGUAACUGACGCUGAGGAGCGAAAGCGUGGGGAGCGAACAGGAUUAGAUACCCUGGUAGUCCACGCCGUAGACGGUGGGUACUAGGUGUGGGUUUCCUUCCUUGGGAUCCGUGCCGUAGCUAACGCAUUAAGUACCCCGCCUGGGGAGUACGGCCGCAAGGCUAAAACUCAAAGAAAUUGACGGGGGCCCGCAGCAAGCGGCGGAGCAUGUGGAUUAAUUCGAUGCAACGCGAAGAACCUUACCUGGGUUUGACAUGCACAGGACGCCGGCAGAGAUGUCGGUUCCCUUGUGGCCUGUGUGCAGGUGGCGCAUGGCUGUCGUCAGCUCGUGUCGUGAGAUGUUGGGUUAAGUCCCGCAACGAGCGCAACCCUUGUCUCAUGUUGCCAGCGGGUAAUGCCGGGGACUCGUGAGAGACUGCCGGGGUCAACUCGGAGGAAGGUGGGGAUGACGUCAAGUCAUCAUGCCCCUUAUGUCCAGGGCUUCACACAUGCUACAAUGGCCGGUACAAAGGGCUGCGAUGCCGCGAGGUUAAGCGAAUCCUUUUAAAGCCGGUCCCAGUUCGGAUCGGGGUCUGCAACUCGACCCCGUGAAGUCGAAGUCGCUAGUA
rnacentral:rRNA from 1 species